rnacentral:rRNA from 1 species
AUUGAACGCUGGCGGCGUGCUUAACACAUGCAAGUCGUGCGGUAACAGGCGUAGCAAUACGUGCUGACGAGCGGCGAACGGGUGCGUAAUACAUGGGAAUCUGCCCUUUAGUGGGGAAUAACCCGGCGAAAGCCGGGCUAAUGCCGCAUAAGAUCUUCGGAUGAAAGCGGGGGAUCGUAAGACCUCGCGCUGAUGGAUGAGCCCAUGUCGGAUUAGCUAGNGGUGAGGUAACGGCUCACCAAGGCGACGAUCCGUAGCUGGUCUGAGAGGACGGCCAGCCACACUGGGACUGAGACACGGCCCAGACUCCUACGGGAGGCAGCAGUGGGGAAUAUUGGACAAUGGGGAAACCCUGAUCCAGCGACGCCGCGUGAGGGAUGACGGCCUGG